GACGAACGCUGGCGGCGUGCCUAAUACAUGCAAGUAGAACGCUGAAGAGCGGCGCUUACUCUUCUCGGAUGAGUCGCGCACGGGUGAGUAACGCGUAGGUAACCUGCCUUGUAGUGGGGGAUAACUAUUGGAAACGAUAGCUAAUACCGCAUAACAAUGGAUUACACAUGUCAUUUAUUUGAAAGGGGCAAUUGCUCCACUACAAGAUGGACUUGCGUUGUAUUAGCUAGUAGGUGAGGUAAUGGCUCACCUAGGCGGCGAUACCUAGCCGACCUGAGAGGGUGGUCGGCCACACUGGGAGUGUGACACGGCACAGUGGCCUUGGGGAAGCAGCAGUAGGGAAUCUUGAGCAAUGAGGGCAACCCUGAGCGAACAGCGCGGAAGGAGUGAGGAAGGUUGUCGGGUCGGAAAGCACGGUUGUAAGUCAAGAACGGGUGUGAGAGUGGAAAGAUCACACUGUGACGGUAGCGUACCAGAAAGGGACGGCUAACUACGUG
rnacentral:rRNA from 1 species